rnacentral:rRNA from 1 species
UGCGGCAGAUAGCUCUCUGCUACUCUCACAUGGUGGCCCACUGAAGCUAAGCAGGACUGAGCCUGGUCAGUACCUACAGUAGAUGGGAGACCACAUGGGAAAGCUAGGUUGCUUGCCAGAA